ACCUGACUGCUAUCAGAUUGAUACUAAGCCAUGUUAGUUAUUGUAGUAAUACAAGGCAGACGGCUCAGUAACGCGUAGUCAACCUAACUUAUGGACGGGGAUAACCUCGGGAAACUGAGAAUAAUACCCGAUAGGUCAUGAUGCCUGGAAUGGUUUAUGACUCAAAUAAUUUAUUGCCGUAGGAUGGGACUGCGAGCUAUCAGCUUGUUGGUGAGGUAAUGGCCCACCAAGGCUAUUACAGCUACGGGCUCUGAGAGGAGUAGCCCGGAGAUGGGUACUGAGACAAGGACCCAGGCCCUAUGGGGCGCAGCAGGCGAGAAAACUUUGCAAUGCGCGAAAGCUCGACAAGGUUAAUCUGAGUGGUUCCUGCUAAAGGAACCUUUUGUUAGUCGUAGAACCACUGAUGAAUAAGGGGUGGGCAAGUUCUGGUGUCAGCCGCCGCGGUAAAACCAGCACCUCAAGUGGUCAGGAUGAUUAUUGGGCCUAAAGCAUCCGUAGCCUGUUCUGUAAGUUUUCGGUUAAAUCUAUGCGCUCAACGUAUAGGCUGCCGAAAAUACUGCAGAACUAGGGAGUGGGAGAGGUAGACGGUACUCGGUAGGAAGGGGUAAAAUCCUUUGAUCUAUUGAUGACCACCUGUGGCGAAGGCGGUCUACCAGAACACGUUCGACGGUGAGGGAUGAAAGCUGGGGGAGCAAACCGGAUUAGAUACCCGGGUAGUCCCAGCUGUAAACGAUGCAAACUCGAUGAUGCGUUGGCUUAUUGCUAGCGCAGUGUCGCAGGGAAGCCGUUAAGUUUGCCGCCUGGGAAGUACGUACGCAAGUAUGAAACUUAAAGGAAUUGGCGGGGGAGCACCACAAGGGGUGAAGCCUGCGGUUCAAUUGGAUUCAACGCCGGAA
rnacentral:rRNA from 1 species